AUUGAACGCUGGCGGCAGGCCUAACACAUGCAAGUCGAACGGUAACAGGAAGCAGCUUGCUGCUUUGCUGACGAGUGGCGGACGGGUGAGUAAUGUCUGGGAAACUGCCUGAUGGAGGGGGAUAACUACUGGAAACGGUAGCUAAUACCGCAUAACGUCGCAAGACCAAAGAGGGGGACCUUCGGGCCUCUUGCCAUCGGAUGUGCCCAGAUGGGAUUAGCUAGUAGGUGGGGUAACGGCUCACCUAGGCGACGAUCCCUAGCUGGUCUGAGAGGAUGACCAGCCACACUGGAACUGAGACACGGUCCAGACUCCUACGGGAGGCAGCAGUGGGGAAUAUUGCACAAUGGGCGCAAGCCUGAUGCAGCCAUGCCGCGUGUAUGAAGAAGGCCUUCGGGUUGUAAAGUACUUUCAGCGGGGAGGAAGGGAGUAAAGUUAAUACCU
rnacentral:rRNA from 1 species